rnacentral:rRNA from 1 species
AUUGAACGCUGGCGGCAGGCUUAACACAUGCAAGUCGAGCGGGGGAAGGUAGCUUGCUACCGGACCUAGCGGCGGACGGGUGAGUAAUGCUUAGGAAUCUGCCUAGUAGUGGGGGACAACAUCUCGAAAGGGAUGCUAAUACCGCAUACGUCCUACGGGAGAAAGCAGGGGAUCUUCGGACCUGGCGCUAAUAGAUGAGCCUAAGGCGGAUUAGCUAGUUGGUGGGGUAAAGGCCUACCAAGGCGACGAUCUGUAGCGGGUCGUGAGAGGAUGAUCCGCCACACUGGGACUGAGACACGGCCCAGACUCCUACGGGAGGCAGCAGUGGGGAAUAUUGGACAAUGGGGGGAACCCUGAUCCAGCCAUGCCGCGUGUGUGAAGAAGGCCUUAUGGUUGUAAAGCACUUUAAGCGAGGAGGAGGCUACUUUAGUUAAUACCUAGAGAUAGUGGGCGUUACUCGCAGAAUAAGCACCGGCUAACUCUGUGCCAGCCGCCGCGGUAAAAC